rnacentral:lncRNA from 1 species
CUCCCCCACAGGAGCCUCUGACCUGGGAGAGGGGAGAAGGGAUGAGGACUCAGAGAGACCUAGAUUCCAAAUCUGAAGAGGGAGGCAACUCGGAGGAAGUCACUGCAGGGGCUUGGAGCCCUGCCCUCAGCACAGAGACUGCAGCGGUGAGGGGCCUGGAGAAGCCCAGGAUGGGGCUCCGGAAGGAAAAAAAUGGAACAAAGAGACCUCUGAUGUCCCCCUUCUCCGGCCACAAAACUCUCUUCCUCUCAGUCCUGGAAUCUGCCCUAGAUGGAGUAGUCAGGACUCACACGCUUUCUAGGUAGAAAGGCCCAGCACCCAUGGUCUCCAUCUUGGCCAUGUCUCUCCCCUUGGAAUGAACUUACCAGCUGUUGGAGCAGGAGAGGACGAAAGAUGUCAAUUGCCUGAGUUGACCGGUGGGUAAACAGAAGCCAAGGGAGGAAACGUGAUUUGCCCGGACCACCCAUUCAGUGAGUGGCAGAGUAAGGCCUAGAAGUUAGCCUUCAGCUCUUCAACUCUUAAUCAAGUGCUCUUUUCAUGGCACCAAAUGGCUCUGCUGCCCAGGAGCACUGUGUUUACCACGGACACCCCCACUCCCUCCUGCCCAGAAGGCUCUGAGGAGAUAGUGUGUUUUUUUUCCAGAACAGCUCUCUGGGAUGGACCCUGACUGGGCCAGCUCUGUUCUUGAACAGGCCAGUGUAAUCCCCCAGGAGGCCUGGCCCUGGGAACAGACAGAGGUUGAGGGAGAAAGGGAGGGAGAGAGAGAGGAAAGAAGGGAAGAGGGUUUUGGUUCAUUUUACCCAGAACUGAAGAAAAACAAAUCAUCUACAGGCACCCCGCAAACGUGCCCACUGCACGUCAACCACCCACAGUAAGAAGAAUUGGGGGAGGGCUCAGGUGCCCUCCAGAGCUGAAGAUGCUGGAAGGUUAGAUAGGGUGAUGCAAUCACUAACCCCCCCCCUCCUGCCCCCAGCCCCAGCUAGACCUGCCUGGGUCUUCCUGGGGUUUUUCUAUCAGCUACAUGAGUG